AACGAACGCUGGCGGCGCGCCUAACACAUGCAAGUCGAACGAGAAUCCGGGGCAACCCGGUAGUAAAGUGGCAAACGGGUGAGGAAUACAUGGGUAACCUACCCUUGAGAAGGGAAUAACCCGCCGAAAGGUGAGCUAAUACCCUAUACGCUAUCUUUUUUUCGAAAGGAAUAGGAAAGACCGGGUCGAGGACCUGGUACUCAAGGAGGGGCGUCAUGUCCUAUCAGCUUGUUUGGUGGGGUAACGGGCCUACCAAGGCUACGACGGGUAGCUGGUCUGAGAGGAUGAUCAGCCACACUGGCACUGAGAUACGGGCCAGACUCCUACGGGAGGCAGCAGUGAGGAAUAUUGCGCAAUGGGCGAAAGCCUGAUCCAGCAAUGCCGCGUGUGUGAAGAAGGCCUGAGGGUUGUAAAGC
rnacentral:rRNA from 1 species